UGAUUGAUAGUGCUGCUGUGCCUUGGUUGCUCAGUAAAGAAAGGUGCUAACAAGCUAGCUUUAUCUAUCUAAUCUAGAUAUAACGCUAGCAAGGUUAGCUAGUGAGUUAGCCAGAUUUCAUGGUAAAACUAUUAAACACUGACUGACGUUGAGAACCUCACCAGCAGCUAGCUAACGUCAGUUACACCAGAUAUGGCACGGCAGUAAAUAUAAUUCAAUACCAACACCAACAAUCCCAGGCUGUUACAAUAUUAUCUACUAACCUGGAUGUGACUUUCAGUUCCUCAUGAUGUGACCCUGCCUGCAUUUGGGGUGUCGUGUCACGUGAGCACUGACUGAGCUGAUGUUGUGAUGUCGUGGCUGAGGUCACCGUGAUCGUACAGUUAUGUGAAAAAGGAAGGACGUCAUCUUCAUCAAAACAAGAUGAGAACGUUAUCGUUGUCCCUUUUCUUCUGUCACGUUUCAUCACCAGGCUGCACUACAGCAUCUAUUGACAGGCGCGAUCCCACUACUGAGCGGCACGGGGGCUUUGACCUGCUCCGUCUCCGACCUGGGCCGGUGCACCCCUCCUUAGACGACCUGGUGGUCCCGGGCUCCCCCAGGAGUACCAUAUCGAUCCCGAACUUAGUGCGGACACCCGAUCGACAUAGUCCGCUGCAGCUCAGAGGUCCUGAGCUCAAACGAUCCUCCAGCCUCAGCCUCCCGGGAGCUUGGAUUACAGGCGCGCGCCACCGCACCCGGCCAGGAAACUCUGCGUCAUAGAGGGUCUGGACUUUGACUGACGUGACGUCACCAGGGAGUACCCUCAGGUGGCAUUUAUUGAAAAAAACCUGCAUCUGCAGUGUGGACUCACAUUACAUUUCUCAUGGGAACGAUUUUGCAGAAGACUACAGACCGGACACAGUGAGAAUCAGGGCCGGCUCUUGACA